CUUAGGCAAAUCCGGGGUACUCUAUGCUGAGAUCUGAUAGCAAGCUGUACUUGUACAGCGAAGUGGUUGAUGCCAUGCUUCCAGGAAAAGUCUCUAAGCUUCAGUUACACAGGAAUCGUACCCGAAACCGACACAGGUGGUCAGGUCGAGUAGACCAAGGCGCUUGAGAGAACUCUGCUGAAGGAACUAGGCAAAAUGGUACCGUAACUUCGGGAGAAGGUACGCUGUUGUUGGUGAUGGAACUCGCUUCCUGAGCUGACGACAGCCGCAGAAACCAGGCCGCUGCAACUGUUUAUUAAAAACAUAGCACUCUGCAAACACGAAAGUGGACGUAUAGGGUGUGAUGCCUGCCCGGUGCUGGAAGGUUAAUUGAUGGGGUUAGCGUAAGCGAAGCUCUUGAUCGAAGCCCCAGUAAACGGCGGCCGUAACUAUAACGGUCCUAAGGUAGCGAAAUUCCUUGUCGGGUAAGUUCCGACCUGCACGAAUGGCAUAAUGAUGGCGGCGCUGUCUCCAGCAGAGGCUCAGUGAAAUCGAAAUCGCUGUGAAGAUGCAGUGUACCCGCGGCUAGACGGAAAGACCCCGUGAACCUUUACUGCAGCUUGACACUGAACUUUGACCUUACUUGUGUAGGAUAGGUGGGAGGCUUUGAAGCUGGAACGCUAGUUCCAGUGGAGCCGUCCUUGAAAUACCACCCUGGUAAUGUUGAGGUUCUAACUCUGUCCCGUGAUCCGGGACGAGGACCGUGUCUGGUGGGUAGUUUGACUGGGGCGGUCUCCUCCUAAAGAGUAACGGAGGAGUACGAAGGUGCGCUCAGCGUGGUCGGAAAUCACGCGUAGAGUAUAAAGGCAAAAGCGCGCUUAACUGCGAGACCCACAAGUCGAGCAGGUACGAAAGUAGGUCUUAGUGAUCCGGUGGUUCUGUAUGGAAGGGCCAUCGCUCAACGGAUAAAAGGUACUCUGGGGAUAACAGGCUGAUACCGCCCAAGAGUUCAUAUCGACGGCGGUGUUUGGCACCUCGAUGUCGGCUCAUCUCAUCCUGGGGCUGAAGCAGGUCCCAAGGGUAUGGCUGUUCGCCAUUUAAAGAGGUACGCGAGCUGGGUUUAGAACGUCGUGAGACAGUUCGGUCCCUAUCUACCGUGGGCGCUGGAAAUUUGAGAGGAUCUGCUCCUAGUACGAGAGGACCAGAGUGGACGAACCUCUGGUGUACCGGUUGUGACGCCAGUCGCAUCGCCGGGUAGCUAUGUUCGGAAGGGAUAACCGCUGAAAGCAUCUAAGCGGGAAGCCUACCUCAAGAUAAGAUUUCCCUAGGACUUUAUGUCCUCUAAAGAGCCGUUCGAGACUAGGACGUUGAUAGGUUGGAUGUGGAAGCAUAGUGAUAUGUGAAGCUGACCAAUACUAAUUGCUCGUGAGGCUUGACUAU
rnacentral:rRNA from 1 species